rnacentral:lncRNA from 1 species
GUGUCCGGCCUUUGCAGUAUGGCCACUAGUGGUUCUCUGCUCUCUGCUUGACCUUAGUCAUGGGAGGCACCAGUGCAAGAUUGGCUCACCGGUGGCAGGUAGGAGUGGGUCAGGUUGGUCAUCCCUUGGCUCCUUCCCUGCAGGCUCUCUGGUGGUGGGGGGGCAGGGAUUGGAGGGGUGGGAUUGCUUUUUUUUACAAGGCCCAGGUGCUUGCAGUUGGCCUCCUGUGGAGAGCUGGCGUGUCUGGGUCAUCGUACUCCCUCCUUCCCCUUGUCCCCUUAGGAUCAUGGCUACAACAGUUCCCUACUGAAGAGGAGACCUCAACCCCUGUCUGGAUUGUUACACCUGCCUUCACCUCUGCAGACAGCGUGGUUGUUAAACCCUAUUCUCCACGAGCUUCCAACAUGAGAACACAUUCCAGUUGUAGACUCAGAGGACUCUUCCUAGAUCACACAAACAUAUGCAGCUAUACCAGAUUUGCAAAUAGACAAAAGGGGGCACAUCUUGUUGUUCCUGGUUUUGAUGUUCCUAAGUUAAUGUCUCAUAAAGAAAAAAUUCUGGUUGUCAGUAGACUGGGGUAUUUGGCAGGUAGGUGA